rnacentral:rRNA from 1 species
UACAGAGGUCUCAAGCGUUGUUCGGAUUCAUUGGGCGUAAAGGGUGCGCAGGCGGCGCGGUAAGUCGGGUGUGAAAUCUCGGAGCUUAACUCCGAAACUGCAUUCGAUACUGCCGUGCUUGAGGACUGGAGAGGAGACUGGAAUUUACGGUGUAGCAGUGAAAUGCGUAGAGAUCGUAAGGAAGACCAGUGGCGAAGGCGGGUCUCUGGACAGUUCCUGACACUGAGGCACGAAGGCCAGGGGAGCAAACGGG